UAGGGAAUAUUGCAAAAUGGGCGAAAGCCCGAUGCAGCAACGCCGCGUGGGCGAUGAAGGCCUUCGGGUCGUAAAGCCCUUUUUGAGGGGAUGAGGAAGGACAGUACCCUCAGAAUAAGCCUCGGCUAACUACGUGCCAGCAGCCGCGGUAAAACGUAGGAGGCGAGCGUUAUCCGGAUUUACUGGGCGUAAAGCGCGUGCAGGCGGAUUGGAGAGUUGGAUGUGAAAGCUCCCGGCUUAACCGGGAGAGGUCGUUCAAUACUUCCAGUCUUGAGUGCAGUAGAGGGCAGUGGAAUUCCGGGUGUAGUGGUGAAAUGCGUAGAUAUCCGGAGGAACACCAGUGGCGAAAGCGGCUUCCUGGACUGUAACUGACGCUCAGACGCGAAAGCUAGGGUAGCAAACG
rnacentral:rRNA from 1 species